AUUGAACGCUGGCGGCAUGCUUUACACAUGCAAGUCGAACGGUAACAGGCCGCAAGGUGCUGACGAGUGGCGAACGGGUGAGUAAUGCAUCGGAACGUGCCCAGUCGUGGGGGAUAACGCAGCGAAAGCUGCGCUAAUACCGCAUACGAUCUAUGGAUGAAAGCGGGGGACCGUAAGGCCUCGCGCGAUUGGAGCGGCCGAUGUCAGAUUAGGUAGUUGGGGGGGUAAAGGCUCACCAAGCCAACGAUCUGUAGCUGGUCUGAGAGGACGACCAGCCACACUGGGACGUGGCCCCGGCCCAGACUCCUACGGGAGGCAGCCUUCUUUGAUUUUGGACAAUGGGCGCAAGCCUGUUCCCUCCAUGCCGCGUGCAGGAAGAAGGCCUUCGGGUUGUCCCCUUCUUUUUUACGGCCCCAAACUUUCCUUUUUCCUCCCCGGGGCUAAUGACGGUACCGUCCGCCUAAGCACCGGCUAACUACGUGCCAGCAGCCGCCGUAACCC
rnacentral:rRNA from 1 species